rnacentral:tRNA from 1 species
GAUCAUUACUCUUUGAGGAUCUGACUUGAAAUCAGAUAGCAAGCUAUUACAAGCUUAAUGAUCU